UACGAAGGGUGCAAGCGUUACUCGGAUUACUGGGCGUAAGCGUGCGUAGGCGGUUUGUUAAGUCCGUUGUGAAGCCCUGGGCUCAACCUGGGAAUUCGCAGUGGAUGACUGGCGAGCUAGAGUGCGGUAGAGGAUGGUGGAAGUUCCCGGUGUAGCGGUGAAAUGCGUAGAGAUCGGGAGGAACACCGGUGGCGAAGGCGGGUCGCUGGGCCGAUACUGACGCUGGAGGAGGCGAAAGC
rnacentral:rRNA from 1 species